UUUGGACAAUGGGGGCAACCCUGAUCCAGCCAUCCCGCGUGUGCGAUGAAGGCCUUCGGGUUGUAAAGCUCUUUUACCCGGGAAGAUAAUGACUGUACCGGGAGAAUAAGCUCCGGCUAACUCCGUGCCAGCAGCCGCGGUAAUACGGAGGGAGCUAGCGUUGUUCGGAUAUACUGGGCGUAAAGCGCACGUAGGCGGCGCUGCAAGUCAGGGGUGAAAUCCCGGAGCUCAACUCCGGAACUGCCUUUGAAACUGCAGUGCUAGAAUCCUGGAGAGGCGAGUGGAAUUCCGAGUGUAGAGGUGAAAUUCGUAGAUAUUCGGAAGAACACCAGUGGCGAAGGCGACUCGCUGGACAGGUAUUGACGCUGAGGUGCGAAAGCGUGGGGAGCAAACAGG
rnacentral:rRNA from 1 species